UUUCUUAAGUUGUUUGUAUGGAUUGUUGAGGUCCCCAUUAUUGGUUCUUUGAUAAUCUCAGUGUUGAAGAAGCAGAAUAAGAUGACUCAGUUAUUGAGGAACACUGUGAUUCCAGAAGCACCCAUGUUCAAACCUGAAUUUCCUCCUCAAGAACCAGAAACCGGGGUUGUUGUUGUGGAUGAGGAUGGAAAACCAGAAGACAGAGUUGGAGUGGCCUUGAAAUGUCUUCCAAACUAUGAUCCUGCUACCUGUUUG